rnacentral:rRNA from 1 species
GACGAACGCUGGCGGCGUGCUUAACACAUGCAAGUCGAACGGAAAGGCCCUGCUUUUGUGGGGUGCUCGAGUGGCGAGCGGGUGAGUAACACGUGAGUAACCUGCCCUUGACUUUGGGAUAACUUCAGGAAACUGGGGCUAAUACCGGAUAGGAGCUCCUGCUGCAUGGUGGGGGUUGGAAAGUUUCGGCGGUUGGGGAUGGACUCGCGGCUUAUCAGCUUGUUGGUGGGGUAGUGGCUUACCAAGGCUUUGACGGGUAGCCGGCCUGAGAGGGUGACCGGCCACAUUGGGACUGAGAUACGGCCCAGACUCCUACGGGAGGCAGCAGUGGGGAAUAUUGCACAAUGGGCGGAAGCCUGAUGCAGCAACGCCGCGUGCGGGAUGACGGCCUUCGGGUUGUAAACCGCUUUCGCCUGUGACGAAGCGUGAGUGACGGUAAUGGGUAAAGAAGCACCGGCUAACUACGGG